rnacentral:rRNA from 1 species
CUACGGGAGGCAGCAGUGGGGAAUUUUGCGCAAUGGGCGAAAGCCUGACGCAGCAACGCCGCGUGUGUGACGAAGGCCCUAGGGUUGUAAAGCACUGUGGGGAGGGAAGAAAAAACGGGGGUUGUACCCCGUCUUGACGGUACCUCUUUAGAAAGCACCGGCUAACUCCGUGCCAGCAGCCGCGGUAAUACGGAGGGUGCAAGCGUUGUUCGGAAUUAUUGGGCGUAAAGGGCGUGUAGGUGGCACUCCAAGUCUGUUGUGAAAGCCCACGGCUCAACCGUGGAACUGCAAUGGAAACUGGGGAGCUCGAGUAUUGGAGGGGGUCGCGGAAUUCCCGGUGUAGAGGUGAAAUUCGUAGAUAUCGGGAGGAACACCAGUGGCGAAGGCGGCGACCUGGCCAAUUACUGACACUGAGACGCGAAAGCGUGGGUAGCAAACAGGAUUAGAAACCCUAGUAGUCC